rnacentral:rRNA from 1 species
GACGAACGCUGGCGGCGUGCUUAACACAUGCAAGUCGAACGGACAGGCCCUGCUUUUGUUGGGUGCUCGAGUGGCGCACGGGUGAGUAACACGUGAGUAACCUGCCCUUGACUUUGGGAUAACUUCAGGAAACUGCGGCUAAUACCGGAUAGGAGCUCCUGCUGCAUGGUGGGGGUUGGAAAGUUUCGGCGGUUGGGGAUGGACUCGCGGCUUAUCAGCUUGUUGGGGGGGUAGUGGCUUACCAAGGCUUUGACGGGUAGCCGGCCUGAGAGGGUGACCGGCGACAUUGGGACUGAGAUACGGCCCAGACUCCUACGGGAGGCAGCAGUGGGGAAUAUUGCACAAUGGGCGGAAGCGUGAUGCAGCAACGCCGCGUGCGGGAUGACGGCCUUCGGGUUGUAAACCGCUUUCGCCUGUGACGAAGCGUGAGUGACGGUAAUGGGUAAAGAAGCACCGGCUAACUACGUG